UGGAGUAUGUGGUUAAUCGAUGCAACGCGAAGAACCUUACCUGGUCUUGACAUCCCGGAGACCCUUAGGAAACUAGGGGGUGCUUCCAUCUGGAAGAAUCUGGAGACAGGUGCUGCAUGGCUGUCGUCAGCUCGUGUCGUGAGAUGUUGAGUUAAGUCCCGCAACGAGCGCAACCCUUGCCUUUAGUUGCCAGCAGUUCGGCUGGGCACUCUAAAGGGACUGCCGGUGUUAAACCGGAGGAAGGUGGGGAUGACGUCAAGUCCUCAUGGCCUUUAUGACCAGGGCUACACACGUACUACAAUGGCCGAUACAAAGGGCAGCGACACUGCGAGGUGAAGCCAAUCCCGUAAAAUCGGUCUCAGUCCGGAUUGGAGUCUGCAACUCGACUCCAUGAAGUUGGAAUCGCUAAUAAUCGUGGAUCAGCAUGCCACGGUGAAUACGUUCCCGGGCCUU
rnacentral:rRNA from 1 species